rnacentral:tRNA from 1 species
AGUCCUGGGGUGUCUACAUAUUAGAUUGCAAAUCUAAAGUCGCAGGGUAAAGCCUGCCGGGACUU